GUACGGAAAGGGCAGCUGUAACUACUACCCAGAAACAGAGAGAGAGGCUGUACCUACUACCCCAGAACAGAGAGAGAGCUGUAACUACUACCCAGAACAGAGGAGCAGAGAGAGAGGAGAGCUGUAACUACUACCCAGAAGAACAGAGAGAGAGAGCUGUAACUACUACCCAGAACAGCGAGAGAGAAGGCUGUCACUCCUACACAGAACGAGAGAGAGAGAGAGCUGUAACUACUACCAGAACAGAGAGAGAGAGAGCUUGUAACUACUACCCAGAACAGGAGAGAGAGAGCUGUACCUACUACCCAGAACAGAGAGAGAGCUGUAACUACUACCCAGAACAAAGAGAGAGAGAUGAGGGAGCUGUACCUACUACCCAGAACAGAGAGAGAGCUGUAACUACUACCCAGAACAGAGAGCGAGCUGUAACUACUACCCAGAACAGAGAGAGAGCUGUAACUACUACCCAGAACAGAGAGAGAGAGCUGUAACUACUACCCCAGAACAGAGAGAGAGCUUUGAACUUACUACCGAACAGAGCGAGGAGAGGCUCUUGUAAAUACUCUCCAGAACAGAGAGAGAGCUGUAACUACUACCCAGAACAGAGAGAGAGAGCUGUAACUACUACCCAGAACAGAGAGAGAGAGCUGGAAGCUUACUACUACCCGAACAAGAGAGAGAGAGCGCGUUUAACUACUACCCAGAACAGAGAGGAGCGUGUAACUACUACCAGAACAGAGAGAGAGCUUUAGAGGGAGAGCGUGUACUACUACCCAGAACAGAGGAGAGAGCUUGUAACUACUAUCCAGAAACAGAAGGAGAGCUGUAACUACUACCCAGAACAGAACA
rnacentral:lncRNA from 1 species